CUAGGACUGUUUAAGUUGGUAACAGAUUUGAAAAUUUAAACUUGGUAACAUUUUUUUCGUUUUUGGUCAUUUGGGUGCUAGAAUGUUGAAAUUUUUUUGUUUUUGUCAAGAUCCUGUCAAAGUUCGUUUCAAAGUGGCUUUCCAAGAAUUCGUCUCGGGGAACAACCUAUUCACAGCCGAUGUCUACUCGCUCCUCAAAACCUCCGAAAACCUGAUCAUCAGCCCUUUUGCCAUCCAACUCGUCGUUGCUUUCGCCGCCAGCGGUGCUCGAAGCAAAACAGCCCAGGAGAUGGCCACCGCCUUGCACUUGCCCUACCACCCCCGUGACACUGAAACAGCCUGGAAAACCCUCCUUCCAACCCUCACCCAACCAGACCACUUCCACCUAAACCUAGUCACGAAAAUGUACCUCCAAAGAAACCUAAACCUGAAAAAGGACUUUCGCACAACUGGAAAGAAGGUUUUUCAGGCCGAUAUUGAAUUUGUGAAUUUUGCGAGUGCAGCUGAAGCGGUGAAAAGCAUAAAUGAGGGGGUGAGGAAACAAACAGGGGAGAAAAUCAACACAUGGGUGGAUGAUGAGAAUUUGUUGACACGGGAUAUGAAAAUGGUUUUGUUGAGUGCAGCGUUUUUUAAAAGUGGGUGGUUGAAACCGUUUCAGUUUAGGGGAAGUCAAGAUUUUUACAAGAGUGCGACUGAUGUUAUCAAAGUCGAAAUGAUGGAAACCAUCGGACAAUUUAACUAUUUCGAGAGCGACUCAAUGGGGGCUAAAUUAAUCGAAUUGAGGUUCGUUGAGGAGUCACUAGCGAUGAUUAUUGUCCUCCCUGAUAAAACUAAAGUUUCGAGUGAUAUCUCUCUAAUAGAGGCCCAUCUCUAUGAGGUUUAUUUGGCCAACUCUUUCGCUCCCGAACUUGUCAAAGUCACUUUACCGAAAUUCAAAAUCGAGUCCUUGAUCGACUUUAAACCGAUUUUGCAAUAUGAAUGGCCAAAGCUUUCAACGGCGAUGCUGAACUCGAGGGUAUUUUUCACAAUAAAGGCGAAGCUUUCAUUGAUUUAAUUUUGCAAAAAUGUGUCAUAAAUGUGAACGAAAUGGGGCUAGAAAUGGAUUCGAGCGAUAACAGUGAUAAAUCCAGUGUUAAUUCGAUUCCACCAAAUGUGAAAAAAUUCUUCACCGCCGAUCGCCCCUUUAUGUUUUUCAUCAAAUCCAAAGAUUUGGUUAUUUUGACGGGGAAAGUUGUCACACCUGUGACGUAACAAGGGUUAUUUUUAAGAUUUUAACGAUGUAACAAAUAAAAAAGUUCAAAAAUUACAA